CUGUGCGCUGGGGAUCUGAUGUCACCAUCUCUUAACCAUCCCCGGCGCCGCAGCCGCAUGUAUUAGGGCGGACAGAGGAACGGACAGGGAGCCUGAUCACACGCAGCAGGGACACCAAUCGCCACACCAGCCAUACGCGCAUGCAGGGGGGGGGGGGGGGGGGGUUCCGAGUACCUGGAAACCCCCUCUGCACACUGGCGCAGCUCACUGAUUUCUAAUGGAGGAGCACGCACUGCGGCUGUGUGUCCGGAUGGUAGCUUCAUAGGGGCAAAUGCAGCAUGCAUCUCCCAGCUACCACACAGACUAGCAGUACCCAUGACAGAGCACUGACAGCGAUGUGUGCUCGCAAUCGCAUGCAUAGGGGAUCCAGUCAGGGAUGCGGUGGCAUGUCUUCUUUCUGAUGUCCCUCCCACCCGGGGACGAAUUGGCCCAGCCAGCGGGAUUUCCAAGGUACUUCCUUUCUCAUUAGUAGCCACGGCCUGCCAGCACCACGGAUAGCGCUGCGGCCGCACAAGGCACUAAUCUCAGAGGUCAGAGGAGGCGACUCUUGUAGAUCACAGCUAAUUGUGUGGCUGUGGAGCAGCAGCACUGGUGCGCUGCAGUCUGAAUGGCCACAGCCACACAGCUCUUACCUUCCUCACUGGUUGCGCCUAUCCCCACUACAGCGCAGUGGAAGCAUGCUGCGGGACGACCUACUACUCUGUGAAGGCCAUGCACGCUGUGUUGCCGUGGAAACAGUGAUCAAGCUGAUUCUACUUUCUAACUCUCUUCGUAUGUGAACUUCUGCUCCGUGCCGUCCAACUGUGCCGUCGUCCACCAAGAUGAAGUGGGUAUGGAGGCUAUUGAGGACAUGGAACUUGCUGAGUGGGUUCAUCAGAGUUUGGUAUGGAGCUACAACCUUGAAGAAAACAAAGCACAGUGAAAGUUAAAAGUAUAAGAAGAAAACAUCUUAAAAGACAUGAAAAAGAUAAAAAGAAAUGUUGCAUUACAUCUCUUCCGAUAAGAUCUUGUCUACCAUCAAUUAUUCCCCAUGGGGUUAUUCCGACAACACAGAUCUUAUGGCACAACUGGGAAGCAUGUUCCUUCAAAGCAUCUCCAAUGUGUUCUGUGACCCCUAUGUUCAACAAGAAAACAGACAUAUAACAAAACUUUUUAAUGGCAGUUUGUCACCUUCCAUCAAAAUGCAACUUUUUGUUUAAAUUAAUGUCACAACAUUGAUAUUAUUAUAUCGAAGACACUGAA